rnacentral:lncRNA from 1 species
CUAUCAUCUCUCUUGCUCUUAGGGUUCGUUUGGUUAUAUAUAAUUAUAAAUAUAAUAUAAUUAAAAAUAGAGCAAUUAUAAUUACAUGCAUCUUAUUUUAUUAUACAUAGUAAAAAAUACUGAAAGUAUAAAUAAUUUAUUUGGUUGCAUACAGUUGAGAAAUAAUUUUUAAAAUUUUAUCAUAUAUAUAUACGGAUAUACGGUGGUGAGAUUACCUCCAAAAAAAAAAAUUUAUUUUAAAAAUAAUUGAGCAGUUAAGCAUACAUUUUGUUUAAAGUUACUUUCUCCAACUACUGUAGUUGGAACUGCGGCCAAUUUGGAAGUAGUUCGAAUUGCUGCAGUUGAGCCUCCUUCUGCAGUUCCUACUACAACAGUUAGAAUUAAAUCUAUCAAACCAAACACCGAAUUUGCAUUUGCAUACAGUUACAAAUGCAGGCAGUGCAGUUGCAACUACAUAUAACCAAACGACCCCUUAGUGUAACCACCCGGCCCGGCAACAAUAAUAACUCGUUGAGCCCAAACCAUCAGACCAAAAUACUUAAGCCCAGUUAUUAUUACUAGCGUGUAUGUCUCAUAUAAACUGAUCGGAAUCAGUAUCCCGGGACUAUUGUCCAAACCAGAUCAUAGACAGACUGACUGACCAGAAUUAUCAGGCGAUGUGAGAUUCUAGAUGUGGCUCCUAUGGGUUCAAGAGGUGGCUCCCACCAAAUUCGUUGGUGUAGCACUUUGUCCCGGAUAGCACUUAACUUUCACAUUUCCGGCUAAUAUUCAGCUUUGAUAGCAAAUAUAACGACCCGACCCGCCAGCAACAAUAACUCAUUGGCCAAAUCACCAGCCAAAAAUGCUUAAGCCCAGGUACCAAGACUAAUUUGCCAGAAGAGGCUGAGACCGAGUGAACGUUAGAUAGUUAGUGUUUGAUUUUAGUCCCUUUUGUUUGUAUAUCUAGUAUUUUCGGAUGUGAAUCUUUGGACUGCGUAGAUGAUCAUUUGUUAUCUACUUUUAUUUCGUUAUUUGUUCAUACCCACUUUUGUUCCUUAUGGUAUUCUGUGGACCGAAUUUCUCUUGUGUUUCGUAGUGAGCUUUA